CUUACUGUUAAGGAUGUUUUCAUAUCCUCUCCUCACUUCGAUCACUAAUAGGAAAGUAGCUAUAAAGAGAAACCCCAUGGUGUUCAAGGCCCUGAAUAGCAAAAAUGAAAUGGACGAUAGAUUAAGAUCUGGGGUAUACAGCAUUCCAGUCAGCAACAGAGAUAAUGGAAUGGAAAGUAAGUACCUAAGGAUGAUAGGCCGCACAAUGGAAGAGAGGUUAGAAGAACACGAAAGAUGUAAGGGAAGGUAAAGUAAUUACAGCAUUAGCAAAAGAAUGUUAUGCAAGAAACACGGAAGUGCACUUUAAUAAGGCUAAGCUAAUAAAACACACGGACAACAUAUACUAAGGUCGGAUACAAGAAUCACUGGAGAUCGAAGUGAGGAGAGUAUGUGAAAACAUCCUUAACAAUAGAGAAUCGGCAGGCACUGUGGCGGGGAGCUCCCAAAGAACAAACUGGAAAAUAUGAAGAAGCGCC
rnacentral:lncRNA from 1 species